rnacentral:rRNA from 1 species
GACGAACGCUGGCGGCGUGCUUAACACAUGCAAGUCGAACGGAAAGGCCCUGCUUUUGUGGGUGCUCGAGUGGCGAACGGGUGAGUAACACGUGAGUAACCUGCCCUUGACUUUGGGAUAACUUCAGGAAACUGGGGCUAAUACCGGAUAGGAGCUCCUGCUGCAUGGUGGGGGUUGGAAAGUUUCGGCGGUUGGGGAUGGACUCGCGGCUUAUCAGCUUGUUGGUGGGGUAGUGGCUUACCAAGGCUUUGACGGGUAGCCGGCCUGAGAGGGUGACCGGCCACAUUGGGACUGAGAUACGGCCCAGACUCCUACGGGAGGCAGCAGUGGGGAAUAUUGCACAAUGGGCGGAAGCCUGAUGCAGCAACGCCGCGUGCGGGAUGACGGCCUUCGGGUUGUAAACCGCUUUCGCCUGUGACGAAGCGUGAGUGACGGUAAUGGGGAAAGAAGCACCGGCUAACUACGU